rnacentral:rRNA from 1 species
AGAUUGAACGCUGGCGGCAGGCCUAACACAUGCAAGUCGAGCGGUAGAGAGGUGCUUGCACCUCUUGAGAGCGGCGGACGGGUGAGUAAUGCCUAGGAAUCUGCCUAGUGGUGGGGAUAACGUUCGGAAACGGACGCUAAUACCGCAUACGUCCUACGGGAGAAAGCGGGGACCUUCGGGCCUCGCGCCAUUAGAUGAGCCUAGGUCGGACUAGCUAGUUGGUGAGGUAAUGGCUCACCAAGGCGACGAUCCGUAAACUGGCCUGAGAGGAUGAUCAGUCACACUGGAACUGAGACACGGUCCAGACUCCGUACGGAGGCAGCAGUGGGAAUUUUGGACAAGUGGGGAAACCCUGGAUCCAGCCAUCCCGCGUAGUGCGAUGAAGGCCGUUGGUUAGUAAGUCG